rnacentral:rRNA from 1 species
GUACACGCUGUGACUAGCAUAUCAAUAAGCGGAGGAAAAGAAACUAACAAGGAUUCCCCUAGUAACGGCGAGUGAAGCGGGAAGAGCUCAAAUUUGAAAUCUUAAAGGGUUUCCCUUUACGAAUUGUAGUUUAAAGAAGUGCUUUUCUGUUGAGGUUUUGGUAAAAGUUCUUUGGAAUAGGACAUCAUAGAGGGUGAGAAUCCCGUAUUUGACCUUUACUUUCAACUUUGUGAUACACUUUCAAAGAGUCGGAUUGUUUGGGAAUGCAGUCCAAAAUGGGUGGUAAAUUUCAUCUAAAGCUAAAUAUUGGCGAGAGACCGAUAGCGAACAAGUACCGUGAGGGAAAGAUGAAAAGAACUUUGAAAAGAGAGUUAAACAGUACGUGAAAUUGUCAAAAGGGAAGCGUUUGACACCAGUGUUGUUUUUCUGAAAAUCAAUUAAAGAACUGUUUAUGCUAAGUUGUUUAGACUUUAUCAGCUAUCUGUUUAGUUUUGAGCUUUUCUUUAAUGCACUUUUCAGUUAACAAGUCAACAUCAAUUUCUUUUGCUGUAAAAAAGCUUGAGGAAGGUGGCUUAGAGAUUCGUCUUAAGUGUUUAUAGCCUCUUGCCUAUGCAGUCGGAGAGAUUGAGGUCUGCAGCGUAGAUCCUUCGGGGCUAAAUGCAUUUGUGCUAAGUUAUAGCAUUUUAUAGACAACUUGUUGACUAUGAUUUGUCUUGUAGUUUACUCGCUUAUGUUAUUUUACCUACGCUUAGGAUGUUGACGAGACUGUCGAUCUC